GACGGUACCCAAAGAAUAAGCACCGGCUAACUUCGUGCCAGCAGCCGGGGUAAUACGAAGGGUGCAAGCGUUACUCUGAAUUACUGUGCGUAAAGCGUGCGUAGGAGGUCGAUGAAGUCCGGUGGGCAGGCCCUGGGCUCCACCUGGGAACUGCCUUGGAUCCCGGGCGACUAGGCCGUGGUACAGGGCAGCGUAAUUCCUGGUCUAGGAGUGAAAUGCCGAUAGAUAAGGACGAACAUCCCUGAAGAAGGCGGCUACCUGGACCAACAUUGACACUGACGCACGAAAGCGUGGGGAGCAAACAGGAUUAGAUACCCUGGUAGUCCACGCCCUAAACGAUGCGAACUGGAUGUUGAGUGCAAUUUGGCUCGCACCAUCGAAGCUAACGCGUUAAGUUCGCCGCCUGGGGAGUACGGGCGCACGACUGAAACUCAAAGGAAUUGACGGGGGCCCGCACAAGCGGUGGAGUAUGUGGUUUAAUUCGAUGCAACGCGGAGAACCUUACCUGGCCUUGACAUGACGAGAACUUUCCAGAGAUGGGAUGGUGCCUUCGGGAACUCGAACACAGGUGCUGCAUGACUCUCGUCAGCAAGCC
rnacentral:rRNA from 1 species